UUUAGAUGGCGACCGGCGCACGGGUGAGUAACACGUAUCCAACCUGCUGAUGACUCGGGGAUAGCCUUUCGAAAGAAAGAUUAAUACCCGAUGGCAUAGUUCUUCCGCAUGGUAGAACUAUUAAAGAAUUUCGGUCAUCGAUGGGGAUGCGUUCCAUUAGGUUGUUGGCGGGGUAACGGCCCACCAAGCCUUCGAUGGAUAGGGGUUCUGAGAGGAAGGUCCCCCACAUUGGAACUGAGACACGGUCCAAACUCCUACGGGAGGCAGCAUG
rnacentral:rRNA from 1 species